rnacentral:rRNA from 1 species
CACACCGCCCGUCACACCAUGGAAGUUGGUUGCACCAGAAGUCGGUCGCUUAACCGCAAGGAGAGCGCCACCCACGGUGUGGCUAAUGACUGGGGUG